AGGGAGCUGGAAGAACACGAUAGACGAUCACGUGACCGACAGGAGCUGGAAAUCGUGAGCAAUUCUGAUGUGGAGGAACUCGAGAG